CUCUUAUAGAUUUUAUAGAAUUUGGUUUUUAGGUGAAGAAACCUAAAUGUAAUUAAAAGACAAGAAGACCCUAUCGAGCUUAAAAUAAUUUUUUUGGUAUAAUGAUAACAUCUUACUCAAAAAAAGAUUUUGGUUGGGGCGACUAAGGAACACAAAAAGCUUCCUAUAAACUAUAGUUACUAAUAAGUAUUGAUCCAAAAAUUUGAUUAACAGAAUUAGUUACCGUAGGGAUAACAGCAUAAUCUUUUCUAAGAGUCCUUAUCGAAGAAAAGGUUUGUGACCUCGAUGUUGGACUAGGGUGCCCAGACAGGUGCAGAAGCCUUCAAUGGUUGGUCUGUUCGACCA
rnacentral:rRNA from 1 species